CUGGGGAAACCCAGGCUAAUACCGCAUACGUCCUACGGGAGAAAGGGGGCUCCGGCUCCCGCUAUGGGAUGAGCCUAUGUCGGAUUAGCUAGUUGGUGAGGUAACGGCUCACCAAGGCGACGAUCCGUAGCUGGUCUGAGAGGAUGAUCAGCCACAUCGGGACUGAGACACGGCCCGAACUCCUACGGGAGGCAGCAGUGGGGAAUAUUGGACAAUGGGCGAAAGCCUGAUCCAGCCAUGCCGCGUGUGUGAAGAAGGCCCUCGGGUUGUAAAGCACUUUCAGCGAGGAAGAACGCCUAGCGGUUAAUACCCGCUAGGAAAGACAUCACUCGCAGAAGAAGCACCGGCUAACUCCGUGCCAGCAGCCGCGGUAAUACGGAGGGUGCAAGCGUUAAUCGGAAUUACUGGGCGUAAAGCGCGCGUAGGUGGCUUGAUAAGCCGGUUGUGAAAGCCCCGGGCUCAACCUGGGAACGGCAUCCGGAACUGUCAAGCUAGAGUGCAGGAGAGGAAGGUAGAAUUCCCGGUGUAGCGGUGAAAUGCGUAGAGAUCGGGAGGAAUACCAGUGGCGAAGGCGGCCUUCUGGACUGACACUGACACUGAGGUGCGAAAGCGUGGGUAGCAAACAGGAUUAGAUACCCUGGUAGUCCACGCCGUAAACGAUGUCGACCAGCCGUUGGGUGCCUAGCGCACUUUGUGGCGAAGUUAACGCGAUAAGUCGACCGCCUGGGGAGUACGGCCGCAAGGUUAAAACUCAAAUGAAUUGACGGGGGCCCGCACAAGCGGUGGAGCAUGUGGUUUAAUUCGAUGCAACGCGAAGAACCUUACCUACUCUUGACAUCCUGCGAAUUUGGUAGAGAUACCUUAGUGCCUUCGGGAACGCAGAGACAGGUGCUGCAUGGCUGUCGUCAGCUCGUGUUGUGAAAUGUUGGGUUAAGUCCCGUAACGAGCGCAACCCUUGUCCUUAUUUGCCAGCGCGUAAUGGCGGGAACUCUAAGGAGACUGCCGGUGACAAACCGGAGGAAGGUGGGGACGACGUCAAGUCAUCAUGGCCCUUACGAGUAGGGCUACACACGUGCUACAAUGGUCGGUACAAAGGGUUGCCAACUCGCGAAAGUGAGCCAAUCCCGAAAAGCCGAUCUCAGUCCGGAUCGGAGUCUGCAACUCGACUCCGUGAAGUCGGAAUCGCUAGUAAUCGUGGAUCAGAAUGCCACGGUGAAUACGUUCCCGGGC
rnacentral:rRNA from 1 species